rnacentral:rRNA from 1 species
GUGCCCAGUCGUGGGGGAUAACGUAGCGAAAGUUACGCUAAUACCGCAUACGAUCUAAGGAUGAAAGCGGGGGAUCGCAAGACCUCGCGCGAUUGGAGCGGCCGAUAUCAGAUUAGGUAGUUGAUGGGGUAAAGGCUCACCAAGCCAACGAUCUGUAGCUGGUCUGAGAGGACGACCAGCCACACUGGGACUGAGACACGGCCCAGACUCCUACGGGAGGCAGCAGUGGGGAAUUUUGGACAAUGGGCGAAAGCCUGAUCCAGCCAUUCCGCGUGCAGGACGAAGGCCUUCGGGUUGUAAACUGCUUUUGUACGGAACGAAAAAGUCUUGGCUAAUACCCAGGAUCCAUGACGGUACCGUAAGAAUAAGCACCGGCUAACUACGUGCCAGCAGCCGCGGUAAUACGUAGGGUGCGAGCGUUAAUCGGAAUCACUGGGCGUAAAGCGUGCGCAGGCGGUUAUAUAAGACAGAUGUGAAAUCCCCGGGCUCAACCUGGGAACUGCAUUUGUGACUGUAUAGCUAGAGUGCGGCAGAGGGGGAUGGAAUUCCGCGUGUAGCAGUGAAAUGCGUAGAUAUGCGGAGGAACACCGAUGGCGAAGGCAAUCCCCUGGGCCUGCACUGACGCUCAUGCACGAAAGCGUGGGGAGCAAACAGGGUUAGAUACCCUGGUAGUCCACGCCC